UACGGGGGGGGUAAGCGUUGUUCGGAAUUACUGGGCGUAAAGGGCUCGUAGGCGGCCAACUAAGUCAGACGUGAAAUCCCUCAGCUUAACUGGGGAACUGCGUCUGAUACCGGAUGGCUUGGAUUUGGGAGAGGGAUGCGGAAUUCCAGGUGUAGCGGUGAAAUGCGUAGAUAUCUGGAGGAACACCGGUGGCGAAGGCGGCAUCCUGGACCAACAUUGACGCUGAGGAGCGAAAGCCAGGGGAGCAAACGGG
rnacentral:rRNA from 1 species